rnacentral:tRNA from 1 species
GAUCUCGUAGCUCAGCUGGUAGAGCAUGCGCGUUGAAAGCGUAGGCGGCGUCCAUGCGUGGGUUCGAAUCCCACCGAGGCUA